rnacentral:rRNA from 1 species
UACGAACUGUGCAAACGUUAUUCGGAAUCACUGGGCUUAAAGGGUGCGUAGGCGGCUUGUCAAGUAGGGUGUGAAAGCCCCCGGCUUAACCGGGGAAUUGCGCCCUAAACUGGCGAGCUGGAGUGGGACAGGGGUGUGUGGAACUUCCGGUGGAGCGGUGAAAUGUGUUGAUAUCGGAAGGAACGCCGGUGGCGAAAGCGACACACUGGGUCUCAACUGACGCUGAGGCACGAAAGCCAGGGGAGCGAACGGG